UACAGAGGGUGCGAGCGUUGUUCGGAAUUACUGGGCGUAAAGGGCGCGUAGGCGGUUCGGUAAGUAGGGGGUGAAAUUCCACGGCUCAACCGUGGGACGGCCUUCUAGACUGCCGGACUUGAGCACGGUAGAGGCAGAUGGAAUUCCCGGUGUAGCGGUGGAAUGCGUAGAGAUCGGGAAGAACACCAGUGGCGAAGGCG
rnacentral:rRNA from 1 species